GAGAUACUCCCUUCGUUCGAAAAUACUUGUCAUCAAAAUAAAUAAAAGGAGAUGUAUCUAGAUAUAUAUAUUAGUUCUAGAUACAUCAUUUUUUAUCCAUUUUGAUGACAAGUAUUUUUGGACGGAGGAAGUACGUU
rfam:Triticum aestivum genome assembly, contig: Triticum_aestivum_CS42_TGACv1_scaffold_210617_3AS